CCUANGGGGGGCUGCAGUGGGGAAUUUUGGGCAAUGGGCGAAAGCCUGACCCAGCAACGCCGCGUGAGGGAGGAAAUCCUUCGGGAUGUAAACCUCACAAGCAAGGGAAGAGAGCUACGGGCUGAAUAAUCCCGUAGUGCGACGGUACCUUGCGUAAGCCACGGCUAACUACGUGCCAGCAGCCGCGGUAAUACGUAGGUGGCAAGCGUUGUUCGGAAUUAUUGGGCGUAAAGGGCGCGUAGGCGGUUUGUUAAGUCGGCUGUGAAAGCCCGGGGCUCAACCCCGGAGGGUCAGCCGAUACUGGCAGACUAGAGUACGGAAGAGGUAGCUGGAAUUCCCGGUGGAGCGGUGAAAUGCGUAGAUAGCGGGAGGAACACCUGAGGCGAAGGCGGGCUACUGGGCCGAUACUGACGCUGAUGCGCGAAAGCCAGGGGAGCGAACGGGAUUAGAUACCCGUNUANUC
rnacentral:rRNA from 1 species